UGAAAGAAGUCGGAAUAGAAGAUGGUGUGGUGGUCAUGGUGUUUUGAGAAUUGUUCUGAGAGAUUUGAGAAGGCUGAGAGUCAAAAGGAGAGUUCACAGGAGAGGAAGAGUUUGUCAUUAGGAUUGAAAAGGGGUUGCUAGCCUCUGUGAGGCUCUGAUACCAUGUAGAGAAAUUGAGAGAGGUAAGAGAAGAAUAAGAAGUAGAAUAGGAAGAAUACCCCACGAUGAGUAUUCAGGUUGUAUUGAAGUUCUUUUAUAUGCUGUACAGUUGACUUUGUGCAUGAAUAUAAACAAGGUACAUUAUACAAACGUUAAAACAUAAAAGAAAAAUUAGGUAUUAAACAUAAGUAACUUUACUAAUUAGUAUUUGAGAUAUUAGGUAUUUUUGUUUGGGUUUUAAUACCUAGAAAAAAAUUGUUAUUUUGGAUUAGACCAAAGAGGAAGCCCAAAUUCAUUGGGCCAGCUUAAAACUAAAAGCUUAAAAGACAAUGCUACCCUUUUCCUUAAAAAAAACCUGGCCCUGUCUUUAAAACCUACAAAAUAAAUGACUCUUUAAACUACGACGAACCUUUCGCUGCAAAGCACAAAACUCUUCUUCUUCUUUCGCUGAAAAAUCAAUCAUCAAUCAUAGUACCCUUCUUCUUCUUUCCCAAAACCCUAACCACAAAACUCUCCUGCAAAGCCAAACCUUUCACUUCCUCUCUUCACUUUGCCCAAUGCCUUCCAUCACCAUUACAACCAGAUGUAGCCCCAGACAGCAGUUCCACAAAGCACACCACCCUCCUUGUUGAGACCUUCCAUGAGCACCAGAGGCUCAAAGCCUUACUUCAGAAGCUCAUCAAUGGCUUUUGCCCUCUACAAUUGCUUGGAGAAGACGGUGAUUGGACCAAAGACCAACUGUGGGCUGCCAUCAGAUUCCUUAAACAUACUUUCAGGUUCAAUGAAAUUCUUCAAGUGCUUUUCUGUUUUUUUCCCUCUCUCGUUAUUUCUUGCUUUAUUAAUUCCAAUAAGUCUAGGAUUUGCAAUUUGGAUAUUGGGUUCUGGGUUUUGAAUUUUGAGGGGUUACCAAUGGAAUUUUUUAAUUUUAGUUUAUUUUUUAUCAUAUUUUUUUUUAUAGAGAAUUUAUUUUUGGUCAUAUGGUGUGAAUUUCUUUAAUAAGCUGGGAACUUGUGGUAUAUUUGGUUGCCAAGAAAGCCAGAAAAGUAAUGCAAGAAAAAAAAUGGUUGCUAUGAUUUCUGUUCUGUAGUGUUCUAGAAAUGGUGAAAAUGUUUGCCUAGUUAAGCUCAACUAAAUUGAUUUUUUUUCAUAUAACUGAGGAUUUAGGAAAAAGUUCACUGUGUAUUCAUAUGUUUUAUCUUUUUAUUUUUUUUAUUGUUCUUUUCUUUCGUUGUUUCUUUUUUAUUUUCCUAAGCAUCUAAAAUGAGCAUCAUGAGAAGUAGUUGUCUAUGUUUCUUAUUGAAAUUGUUACUCUGGAAACUCUAAACAGUUGUUCGAUAUGUGGAAGAACAUCGAGAAAUCACGGAUUAAUGAGUUCAACUACAGCAAGAUAAUAGGUCUGAUGGUAUUGCAAGAUAAUAGGUCAUAUUGAAAUGAAGCUGUUUGUAGGGAGUCGAUUUUCCAGUUUUCGUGUAAUGUUUUUUUGUUAGUUGCUCAGUUCUUGUGAUAUUAAUUUCAUAUCAGACUUCACAUCAAUAUUUUGAUCUAUUGUUUAAAUCUCCACCUUGCAUCCUUAUUAUUUUAGUCGUUGAUAUCUAUUGUCAAUAGUAUUGCAAAACUUUUUGGUGCAUGGGUUUGAACUUUUUGAUUUGGAAAUGGUAUUGCAAAACUACAUUGUACAGGUUUGCAUUGUAGUUUUGCACAAACUGCAUUGCAGUUUUCAUUUAAUUACAAUUUGAUUUUUGUUCUUUCCUUGGCCUUCAACCUCACCAAUUUUAAGAGUAGAGGCUACACAUAUGAGGAAUUGGGUGGGCAAGAGAAGAGUAGAACUACCCAAGAGCAUGGGAACUCAAAAUUAGACUUUUGGAACCUAGAAACUGCAUUGCAGUUUUGGAAAAUGCAUUGCAGUUUUCAUUUAAUUACAAUUGGAUUUUUGCUCUUUCUUUGGCCUUCAACCUCACCAAUUUGAAGAGUAGAGGCUACCCAGAUGAGGAAUGGGAUGGGCAAGAAAAGAGUAGAACUACCCAAGAGCAAGGGAACUCAAAAUUGGACUUUUGGGAACUGGAAAUUGCAUUGCAGUUUUCAUUUAAUUACAAUUUGAUUUUUGUUCUUUCCUCGGCCUUCAACCUCACCAAUUUGAAGAGUAGAGGUUAGCCAGAUGAGGAAUUGGGUGGGCAAGAGAAGAGUAGAACUAUCCAAUAGUAAGGGAACUCAAAAUUGGUCUUUUGGAAACUGGAAACUGCAUUGCAGUUUCCAUUUAAUUACAAUUGUUUUUGUUUUUGUUUUUGUUUUAGGUUUUUUUUUAAUAACAUAAUUGAUAUCUACAUUGUAUUUUUGUUGCAGUUUCUGUUUUUAUUUGCAGUUUUUGUGUGAAUAAGUGUUGCAGUUUCUAUUCCAUAUUUCUAUUUUAGAAUAAUUUUUGCAAGUCUAUGGGAAUAUUACAACUGUUCAUCGACUUAAAUGUGCUUUGAACUUAGUUUUAGUACUUUAAUCAUGGCUUUGCCUCUUGGUUUCUAUGCAAAUAUGAGCAGAUGUUUUGUCAUAAAAUGCACUGCAAUUUCCGUUUGUUGCAAUUUUUGAUAAGAAACUGCAGUGCUAUUAGGGUUUAGGGUUUCCGUUUUCUUAUAUGUGUUUUGAACUUAGUUUUAGUACUUUGAUCAUGGCUUUGCCUUUUGGUUUCUUUUCACUUUUGGGCAUAUUUUUUUCAUAAACUGCACUGAAGUUUCUGUUUGUUGCAUUUUUUUAUCAGAAACUGCAAUGCAGUUUCCUGUUCCAUAUUUCAAUUUUAGAAUAAUUUUUCCAAGUCUAUGGGAAUGCUAGAACUACUCAUCGACUUAAAUGUGUUUUGAACUUAGUUUUAGUACUUUGAUCAUGGAUUUGCUUUUUGGUUUCUUUGCAAAUUUGAGCAAAUGUUGCCAUAAACUGCGUUGCAGUUUCAGUUUGUUGCAGUUUCCGUUUGUUGUAGUUUUUGAUCAGACACUUCAAUGCAAUUUCCUGUUCCAUUUUCGUUUGUUGCAUCUUGUUAUAAUAUUAUAUGACAGUAGAGAUAUAUAGCAAAAUUUUUUCUCAGAUUAGGUUGACCACAUCAUUGUUGUAAUCAACAACCUCAUCUUCCUCUUCUUCUUCUCCAACUUCUUUUUUUGCUUUCCCUUUGUUUGUUUUCUUCUUUUGUUUUGUGUUGGCCUUUUCUUUCUUUGGUUUGUUUGCCACAACAAUUUUCUUGUGUAAUUCUUCUUCUACGAGGCCUUUUGAUGGUUUUGUUUGUGUGUUUUGUUUGUAGUUUUGGUUUUUUUUUUUUUGGUUUUACUUUUUUUUACACAGUUUUUGCAUGAAUCUGUGUUGAAAUAAUUUAAUUUUUUUUAUUUUUUAAUCGAUGAUUGUUUAUAUAAAUAUUGUGUAAUUGAAUAAAUAUCACAAAAACGAGUUUGGUGUAGUGGUUUGUGAGUGAGGCUCCCUCAUUUGAGGGCAAGGUUCGAGUCCCUAUAAUGACACAAAUUCUUCUAUUUUUUUAGGGUGAAUAAAGGGCAAUGGAGUUAGUCCCCGGUUGGUCGGAGAUGGGUGGCGGUGGUUGGCCAAUGAUGGGCGAUGGCGGUAGGUGGCGGCGGCUCGUCGGCGGUGGUGGCAGCAGGCCGGAAGGGGGUUGACCGGCGGCGGAAGUGGUGGUUGGCCGGAAGGAGGUUGGCUGAAGGCAGGUGGUGGUGGUUGACCGGCGACGGCGGCAGCUAGCCGGAAGGAGGUUGUCUGGCGGUAGGUGGUGGUGGUUGGCCGGCGACGGCGGCGGUGGUAGCUGACCGGAAGGGAGAUUGCCGGAGGUAGACAUGUGGCAUAGUGUGCUUGUUUUUAAAGGAGUGGCAUUGUGUGUAAUUUUGAUGUUUUUUAAUUACAUUAUUGUAAAAUUAAUAAGUAAAUUUAGGUUUUACCCAUAAAAAAACUUUCACUUUUGGAAAAAGCCAAAGCUUUUUCAAAAAAGACAGAAUAACCUCUCAACUUUCAAACCAAAGACAUGCAAAUAUAAAGGAUUUCUUAGGAAAUUAAAAAAUAAAUAAGGGUAAUUUUGUCCAUUUUUGCUUAUUUUAAAAAUUUUCUCUCUCCUUUGGGUUUUUCCAAAGUCUCCCAAAUUAAUACUACUUUUUGAUCUUUGGCCUUAUGCUAAUUAGGUGAAAUUGUAUUCCUAUCUUCCAAAUUAGUAAACUAUAUAGUGUCUUAAAAUGAAAGCUCCCAAACAUAAAUAGGCAGUUCCAAGAUUAUAGGGAUUGAUUGAGAUACUGAAUCAAUCACACAUGAAUGGCUACAGACUACCGUGACUUGUGGGAAGUGUCUUGCAUAUUCAUUGGGUAAUGAGUAG
rnacentral:lncRNA from 1 species